ACUUUGUAGUAGUUCUGUAUAGUUUACGUGUGGUUCUUACAGGAAUUAUACGGAAAUAUAUACAACUUUACACCGAAUUCACUUACUUCCUCACAGAAUUAUACUGAAGCCUGAUGAACUUAUUGAGCUGGGCAUAGGAAGCGCUUUAGCGAGGGUUUCUGAAAUGUUUGAAUUAUGGAAACAGCAGGAUGGAGAGGUUUGUGUUCGGUACGCCGACGAAAACAUUACCUAAAUUACAAGCAUGCGAAAACGUUUCUACAAAAGCGAGAGACACUUUACAAACGGAUUACUGUUGCGGUUUCUACAUUAGCACAAACGACAGCACAGAAAGCAAACAAAUUAAGCGUGACAGAGCGUUACCAUGCCUUCCGUACUCAAGUCUUUCAAUGCGAGCAAUCAAAGGUAAAUAAACUGGGGCCG